AUUGAACGCUGGCGGCAGGCCUAACACAUGCAAGUCGAACGGUAACAGGAAGCAGCUUGCUGCUUCGCUGACGAGUGGCGGACGGGUGAGUAAUGUCUGGGAAGCUGCCUGAUGGAGGGGGAUAACUACUGGAAACGGUAGCUAAUACCGCAUAAUGUCGCAAGACCAAAGAGGGGGACCUUCGGGCCUCUUGCCAUCGGAUGUGCCCAGAUGGGAUUAGCUUGUUGGUGGGGUAACGGCUCACCAAGGCGACGUUCCCUAGCCGGUCUGAGAGGAUGACCAGCCACACUGGAACUGAAACCCGGUCCAGACUCCUACGGGAGGCAGCAGUGGGGAAUAUUGCACAAUGGGCGCAAGCCUGAUGCAGCCAUGCCGCGUGUAUGAAGAAGGCCUUCGGGUUGUAAAGUACUUUCAGCGGGGAGGAAGGGAGUAAAGUUAAUACCUUUGCUCAUUGACGUUACCCGCAGAAGAAGCACCGGCUAACUCCGUG
rnacentral:rRNA from 1 species